GAAUCCUACCAGAGAGAGGAAGAUGGGAGGGAGAGAGAGAGGAGGAAGAUGGGAGGAGGGAGAAAGAGAGAGGGAGAGGAGAGGGAGGUCUGGCGGCGGACAGGAAAGGGUGACCAGCCAGCGUUGGCCUGUGCCCCUCCUCUCGUAGGAACCCUAGCAGAGAGAGAAGAUGAGAGGGAGAGAGAGAAGGAAGGAGAGAAGGGAGAAAGAGAGAGGAAAAAGGAGAGGGAGGUGCGACGGCUGACGGGAGAGAGGAUCACCGACCGGCGUCGGCCUGCGCCGGCCAGGAUGGGCGCGACCUGGAGGUUGGCGGCGGCUCGAUCCGCUCCUGGAUCGGGAACUGCGACGGGGCUGGGUCUCGGGCGCGAUUCACGGGAGGCUGCACUCCGCCUCUUCCUCGUGGUGCGGCGGACAGCGGCUCUUGCGGCCGUGCGGCCGACGGCGGCCUCAGCGGGUGGGCGAUGAGACCUACAGCUGGUGUUCUACCCAUGGAUUCCCGUACAGCCCGAGGCGCUCUGGACAAAUUAGGCCUGAGCCAAUGGGGGAGAAGACGGAGUAUAUGGAUGAGCAGCUGGAGCACACGUUCAUUUGAUGUUUGCGCGCAAGAUGGAGAAGUUCGCUAGAAGGAAGAAGAGUUGGGCGGCGAGGAGGAGAAGAAGGCGGUCUGCGAGCUGCUUGCACGCGCAGCAGCAGGAGUCCACCAGUGAGGUGCUCCUCUGGAUACUCCCUUCCGGCGCCGGGCUUACGUGUUCAACACCGCCCUCACUGUCCCCUUCUUCCAUUGGCUCAUCGGUCGGUCAGAGGUUAUCGAGGUGGAGGUCAACGGGGUGAGACAGAGAAGUGGAGUGCUCAUAAAGAAACGCAGGUAUGUAUGAAUAUGAUGGAUGCUUCCAUUGCCAACUGAUGAAUGCAUGUCUCCUUUCGCGCAGCUGCUGCCUGGAUUCGCCAUCGUGGCCGCCGCCUCCAGUCGCUUCCACCUGGACAUCCUUCGCCAACAAGGUAAUUUCGUUCCGGUCCCAGCUGUCCUCCUAUCCUCCGCGCUUGAUUGCUAUGAGUUCUUGUUGUGUGUGUGCAAGGCUUAGUGAUGUGUGUGUCCGGGAACCCAUUGUGUUCUUUUUUAUGGAUUGUUGCUGCGUGCAUGAUUGUUGUGGCUGGCUUGGUGGUAGCAUCAUACAUACUGUUCUGGUUGGUUAGCUUAACGCUCUAAAGCUAGGCUUUUAAUUCUCUGGGUGUAAGUAAUGUAUUGCUAUACCAGAUAAAAUAUACACAUGCAUGGCAAACAUGAUUCUGCUUAUACGCGGAAGUAUAUUUUUCAAAUCUAUCUCUUCAAUUCUUAGGACCAUUCUUUACUGAAAGUCUAGAACUAUGUAAUUUGGUAAUCGUGUCAAAGUUCGCCUGGUUGUGCCGUAUUACAUUGUGAUUUGUGAAUGCUAUGUCGUUGGGGAAUCAGCGAGCUUGGUUAUAUUUCUGGGGCCGUCAUGUUAACUGGUGCUGGUAGCGCUCGCUUGCUAGCUAUGAGUUCUUGUUCUGUGUUUGCUUACUGGCUUAGUUAUGUGUGUUUGUCCGGGCACCUAUUGUGGUUUGUUUUUUGCUAGCUUGCUGCUGCGUGCAUGAUUGUUGUAACCGGGUGCUGGUUGUUUGGUGCUGGGCUGCUGAGGGCAUGAGACCCGCUUCAAAAAAAGGAAUGAAAGGAAGCAUUUGUUCAUAGAACAAAUAUAUUGUAAAAAUUUCCAUGGAAAGCCUGCAUAUUUAGCUCGGAAAAGGGGUCUAAGGAGGCUUAGAUUCUUGUUAUGUAUUGAUUUUGUAAAAUAUCUGCAGCUAUAUAUUGCUCAAUCAAAGAAAGAUUUUACUCAACCUUCAGUGUAAUGUAUUUCUAAUUGUUCAGAACUACUUCAAGUUUUGUUGUGAUUUUGCAAGAUUAUGAAAUUAUUGUAUUUCGAAAUUGUUAUACUAAUUCCUCGAUGCUCUGUUCAUGGCUUUGUUCUUAUUUUAUCCUUAGUUAUUUGAUUUUUCCUUUCCUACAAGAAGAUGCUGAGUCAUGUAAUAUGUUCAAAGAAGAGAGAAUCUGCAUUUUAUGAAUGCUUUCUUCUUUCUUCAUUGUUACUUCAAGUUAGCGAAUCCAGUUAAGUUGUACUGAGAAGAUUCAUACGCAUGCUUUCUCCAUCUACACAUCUUAUUCAGUCACGAGGCCAUUAAGAUCUUUUGCCUUUUAGAAAAAGGGAGAUGCCAUUUAGACCUUACUCUGUUCAACUUGAUCUUUAACUUGCUACUACUGUUUCUAAGCAUUUUCCCAAGCAUUGUUUUAUUUGCAUCAGAGAAUGAGCUCACCUUAUUCAGUGGAUGUGACAAGUAAAAAAUUAGAAACUGAGCAAUUAGUUCCACUCUUAAAUUUUGUACAGCAGUCCAAAUUAUCCAAUAAAUCAUUUGUUAGCAGGGUCUAAUUAUAGAAGUGGAAUCAGUUGUUCCAAAUUACCCAGUCCAAAUUAUGGAUGUUAAAAAUCUGUUUUGUGUUAGUCAAAUUGUUGAAAGCCGGAGCUGGGUCGAGGAGCCGGCCUCCGCCUUCGCCAUUGCCUGAGAGAAGCAACACCAGCAUUGGGCGUUCCAUGUGGAGAGUGCGUGAAUGAUGAGGUAUGGCAUGGAAUGGUUGGGUUUUGAGUGGUAGGUGAUCCCUAUGCCGGCGGUGAUAGCGGCCAUCAUUGGUACAUUUCAGUAAUAUGUAAGUCCAUUUCAGGCCCUGUUUGUUUGGGCUUUUACUUCUGCUUUUGCAGCUUUUCUAUUUUAGCCAAAAAGCCAUAAAAGCUAGGUGCUUUUAGAGCUUUUAUGGCUUUUGGAGCUGAAUAUUGUUAUAUUGAUUCAUCAAAAGCCAAAAAAGCUCCAAAAGCACCUAUUUAGGAGCUUUUAUGGCUUUUUGGCCAAAGUGGAAAAGCUGCAAAAGCAGAAGCAAAAGCCCAAACAAACAGGGCCUCAGUAAUAUGUCUUGUUUUACUUCCUCCGCGGUGACUCUGGAUGUAUUCUCGGCUUUACAGUCAGUAAAAAGAAGGCAUGCAAAACAUUAUAUUUUUGCCUUGGUUGAAUGUCUCAUUUAAUUGUCGCUUAUUUAUUUCAAGUUACUGAAUUCGCAUCGAACUUUCCUUGUGCUUUCCAUUAAUAAAUAAGAAAUUAAUACGCAAUGUUUUUAAUAUGUGAGGAGGCGAGAGAAGAAGAAAAGAGGGGUUGUCAGGUCGGACCUUGGUACGUCUCUGACCAGAGAUGGUUGGAUCCGUCCGACGCUCUUCCAAACAGUGCAUUCUAGAUUCAAUGGGUAGUACAUGGAGCUUAUUUACUUUGCCGCUCUUAUGGCUUUAUCUGUACUUGACAUAUCAAGAGCUGGUGGGGGGUGUACUCUCUCCCUCAAGAAGCACGACCCUCUUGAUCCAACUAGGAACAUCAAAACUAAAAUGGGAUAUCAUUGACUGGACUUCAGAUGGCCAUGCUGUGAGUUCACCAUUACUAAAUAGUAUCUGAAUCUUCUUUGUAUAAUUAAGACACACUUUCUACAUAGAGCUGCUAUAGUGAUACCAUGUGAUCACUUAACAUGAGUGCGACUAGCCUAUUUUCUCUAUUUAAAAGUAGAGUUGUGUUUAUCAUAAAAUUUAUAUACCAUGGACUUGUUGCUUUCUGUUUAUAUAAUAGGGAAGUUCGUCUUCUAUCAUCUGUUUUCUUCAUUACAUGUCUCUUAGAUUGUUGGAGAGGCCUUUACGAAUAAGUUGAUUAACUACAUUUAUGUGUUAAUAUAUUUGCCUGAUGGGUUUCCCUAUUAUGGCUCAUGGUCAUAGAUGUAGUUUGCCUUUGCUAUUGUUGUUUCUCCAAAUAGUAUCUACAUCCCACUAUAUUGUAUGUGUUGUGAAUGUACGGCUGUUAAAUCUGUUUGUUUGCUUCUGCUGGUAUGUUAUGUGAUCAUUGUAACAAUCAGAUGCAUGGAAAUUUGGAGCAGUUAAUCCCAAUAGCGAGACAUGAGUUAUGCUCAAGGUAAUUGACCUUUGCAUAAUAAGAUAUAUGGAGCUCUUUUGAAUGCAGCAUUUUAGCUGAAUUGAUGGAAAUGUCAGUAUUCUACUUUCGUUCACAGAUUUCAAGAGAUUUUCCAUGCAAAAAAAUAAUGUAUCAAGGCCAGUUUUGUCGUGUAUUUCUUGGUGAAUGUGUAGCAAGCUCUUCGUGUGCUCAUUUUCUCCUCUGCUAAAAAGAAUUUUCCCAAUGAAAGAAGUACACGCUUAAUGAUUUGUGUUAUGUGUUAAUGAUAGGGAGUAUCAACAAGAACUUAAUGCAGGAUGCAGCCAGAUUGGGUCCAUUCCCGAUGGGGUGGAACUGGAGCUUCCAAGGGAUGGUUCUGAUCCAGUUCCAUUAAGGGUGUAUUUUUUUUGGAGCUUGGCCUGGUGUGGUUUUGUCCAUGCCUAUGAACAGGCUGCCCUCCAUGCCAUAAGAUUUUUAUAGGGCUUAUAUGGGUUUGUAGUUCGAGAUUAUAAUUAUGACUGUAUGAUGGUCUAUAGGAGCUUCCUUCGUUUUUCCAUGACAGUUUCAGUUUCAGCCGUCCGGUCCGUUGGGUGCCUGCAGAGGGAGGGUGCCUGUAGAGGGGAUUGUUCUCUGUGAACGUGGAAAUUAAUCCAGAUAUUGUCUCUACUGUCCCAUUUCGAUUGGGCUCUGUUGUACUCACAUUUACUAUUAAACAU